UACGAAGGGGGCUAGCGUUGCUCGGAAUCACUGGGCGUAAAGCGCACGUAGGCGGAUUGUUAAGUCGGGGGUGAAAUCCUGGAGCUCAACUCCAGAACUGCCUUCGAUACUGGCGAUCUUGAGUCCGGGAGAGGUGAGUGGAACUCCGAGUGUAGAGGUGAAAUUCGUAGAUAUUCGGAAGAACACCAGUGGCGAAGGCGGCAUCCUGGACCAUUACUGACACUGAAAAGCGAAAGCCAGGGGAGCAAACGGG
rnacentral:rRNA from 1 species